rnacentral:lncRNA from 1 species
UUCAUCUCACUCUUGCAUUACUCAAUGCAGGUGCUUGUUGCUCAUCAAGGGGAGUGGGAAGUAGCAGCACAUACACCUUCACUCUCAUAAUAAUGCUGCCCAGGCGCAGUCAUGAUUUAAUUAGAAACUUCUUGUCAAAGGAUGUUUGUUUUUAACUAGUCGUGCGCACUGGUUAAUUCAGUUCAUGUCGUUAUGGUCGUCUUCCCAUUGCUAGCAGAUUAUUAAUGUCUAUUAUGUUUUCUUAUCAUGAUAUCUAUUUAUACUUUGUUGCUUUCCCGUUUAUGCAAUUUUCAAAGGAGACACUGUCGAAAUUUUAUACAUGAAUGUUAGAUGUGUAGUUUAGUAGCAUUCUGGGGUGUUUGUGGAUCCCGGGGUGUUACAGUUGGUAUCAAAGCUUAGGCUUUAGAUUCUUGACAAUUUGAAGAUAAAUUUGACACACUUGCACAUAUAGGAAGGGUAUGGGUUCAAGUAUCUUUGAUAUAUAUUAGUGACUUUGAAGUGCAGAUGACAAUAAUUUCACCCCUCCCGAUUCCUUUACGGUGAUGUGGUAAGUUGUUUAUGGCUUAAUGCUUGAUAUAAUUUAUUUCUGAAAUUUUGAUAUUGUUUUAUUAAUGCGGUAAAUAUCGCUGAUCAUUUGUGAGAAUGAAGUUGUUAUUAUGCUUGUGAUAUACAAGUAUGCCUAUGAUGUUUUCACUAUGUUUUUCAUGGUUGAGUUUUAUUACAAUAAUAUUGUUAUAUAUGCUUGACUGAGGAUGUUUCUAAGAGGAGUGUGAAUUGCAUGUUUUGGGGUACAAGGUAAUCAUCAAUUUGAAUUUAAGUUGUUGAGCGGUUGGUGGAUAGCUCCAACUAUCUUUGCAAAGAAUGAUUGUUUAUGUUGAGAAACCAGUUCUGAAAGAAAUGAAUAUUGGUACUUGUAUAUGGAUUUUGGGGGAAGUCUUUACAUAGCCAGAAUGGCUUACAUGUCUCUCUUCUAUCGUGUGUUUUAGUAGCCACAAAGCCUAGAUGUGGUUUAAAGUGGUUGCAUGUUAGUCAUGAUAAUUGUAGAAUAAAUCUUUGAUUUUUCUUGAUCCAUUGAUUAUGUAUGAAUACGUUGAGGAUUUGAUGGUUCUCUUCCCGAUGCAUGUUUGUGGAGCCAUUGUUGGACCACUUAUCUAUUGGUUUGAAUGAAGUCAUUGCCUAGACUAGAGUUGGUUGUGUGUGGUUAUUCACCUAUUCCUAAAUGAUGUGGUUUUUACAUCAGCUUGGGAUGUUUGCCAAAUGUGUGAAGGAUUACAGGGUUAGUAUUGGCCCUUUAUGUCUGGUACUCUAAGUGCAUCAUAUGAUAGAAUAAAAUGUAACUUUCUGAACUACAAUAGAUGAAGACUCAUAUUAUGUGUAGGUUAACUUUAGUAGUUGGAUAUUUUUCUUAGUUGAGAUGCUGAAUGAAGUAUAGUGACAUGGGUUAAGCAAGUAUUGUGUUGUUGUUGGGCUGUCAGUGCUCUAUGUAGAGUUUUUGACAUUUCUUCGAUGAACUGUGCCGCGCAAGAUUUUAUUGGCUUCUUGUCGGCUUUAUUGCUCCAUUAGUUCUAUAGAUUUUCUCCCUUUUGGUGGGGGGCAAAGUAUGUUAGAUUACAUGAUUAUCUUUUCAUUAUGGCAAGAACAAGGUUUAGGAAGAUUAGGAGUUUUGUUUCAAUAGAACUACUUGUUUCGUCGUGCUGUGAGGUGAGGUGUUUGAUCUUCUUAUACAUUCAUCUGGUGUGGAUGUUUCACCAUUGAAUUAAAAUGAAUUGUUGAAGUUGGUAAAGGUUGUGCUUAGUGCAUAUUACCCCUUCAUAAAAGAGUGUCGUUUUAAGACAUUGAUGCUGAUGUAUGGCUGCAUCCAAAUUCGAUGUUGUGAAAUCGUAGUGUUGAUUGCAUCUAUGACUUGGUUUGAGCUUCAUUACAUGUUGGUUCAUGCUUGAUGUCAGGUUGUGUAGUUUCCUUAGACAAUUAGUCCAAGGUAGAAGUUCUUGUGUUAAUUAAGACCAAUAAUGGACCCAUGUUUCGAAUGGUGGUGCUAUAUGGGGUACCUUGGGUGUUUUGCUUGGAGUGGUCGAAUUCGAGGACGAAUUCUUUUUAAGGGGGGUAGAGUGUAAUAUCCCAAAAAAAAUGUUGCCAAAGGUUUAUCUUCGGUGCAUGGAUGUGGGGAAAGAGUUGUGGGCCGUUGGAUGCAAAGUCAAGAGACAUCUGAGGCGUCGUUUCUUUUUCCCACAAAACCCUAGUGGUCGCCCCCCCUAUUUUUCCCUUUUCUUGGCCGCCAACCCCCCUUUUCCCCACCCUUGGCCGCCCCUCCCCCUUCCCCUUGCAGCCAUCCUCCACUACUUCCUCCUCCCUCUAGAUCUCCCCCCACGCAGCAAGGAUCGAGAAGAGGAGGAGCAAGAUGGAUUGAAGAGGAAGAGAGGAUCAAGGAGAUGUUCUACCCCCAUCUCUUGCAGAUUUUCUUGGGGAAACCCUAGGUAAGGAUAGGAUCCUUGUUCCUCCCUAUAAUUAUAUGCUUUUGGAGGUUGUGGAUCAUGUGGAUUGAAGGAUUAGAGGUUGGAUUAGAUGUGGGGUUAGGUUUCGAUCUCGAAUUUAAUUUCUGCAGAAUGGCAGAUUCGACAGUUUCUGUUCAUGUCAGUUUUUCGUGAUCUUAGUGGCCUCAAAAAAAUAAAAAGUCUAUAUAUGAGUCGUAGAUAAUUUGUAGAUCUUUCCGUGGCCACGAAGAACACCUCAAUCGGACAUCAGAACAGAAAGUUAUUGCAGUUUGAUUAUAGCAGUUUUUCAGUCUCAUAAUUCUGUGCAGAAUCUGUUCUCUUAAGAGUUAGGCAAUUUUAUCAACGGAAUUAAACUGUGGGUUGGUAAAAGAAGUUGUAGAUAACUUCAUAAGCUUUCCAGAUUGUUAAAGAGUGUAUUCAUAUGAUUUAUAAAACUUCAGUUAUGUUUGUUUAACUGUGGCUGUUCCUGUUUGCCUGAUAAAAAUGAUCGGGUCUGUUCACUGGUGGGUUUCAUCUAGUAAAUGGCCGAAUUGGCUCUUCCAACUGUGGAGACUUUUGUAGAGGGAUAAAAGUUCUUACUGCCAGCAGAAUGUCAUAAUUUUUGGUUCAGUAGUUUGGGAGAUAUCGAAUUUUGAAGUUAACUAGGCUGCUGUCUAAAACAGAUUCAGUCAGUUAUCUUGUCAGAUGUUUUAGAAUAUAUUGAUGGCAGAAUUUAAUUAUCCAUUGAAUACCGAAGUUGUAGAUUGUUUUGUGUAGAUACUCUUAGAGUAUUUGUUUGAUAUCACCAAUGUUUUAAUUUUAAAGAUACAAAAUUAACAAACAGCGCUGCUGCUGUAUAGCAUGUGGUUCAGGGUGGGAGUCUUUCCACUAGGUCUUGGUUUCAAGUGUAGGAGUGUUUUGUUGAUUGUUGGCAAAUGUUUGUGAAAUAUUUGUACUAAGUUUUAUGCCCGCUAGCAGGUGGCUACACUCCAGAUCAUGCCUAGUACAUUCUUCUUCUUCGAUGAAGGCAAGUGAAUGUAGCGGUGGUUGCUAUCGUUUUGACCUGUUAUUUCUAUCACCUACACUCUAAUAUGCAGAAUUAUUGGAUUCUUUCAUAAUUGAACUCUAUGAUGAUGUUUUACUUGAUUGUAUUAUGUUGAUGCUCUAUCAUAUAUUGAUGAUUAUUAUGGUUCAAGUAUGACCCAUGAGAUUAAUUCACACCCUUGAAGGCAGAUGAAGUCUUAUUUGAGGUUUGCAUUGUAUCUAAAGGCAUACGAAGUAUUAUUUGAGGAUUGCAUUGUAUCUGAAGGCAGAUAAAGUAUUAUUUGAGGUUUGUAUUGUAUUUAAAGGAAGUGAAAUUUAUUGAUAAAUGCAGCAUGCCAUAUACAUUGCAUGACUCAUUUGCAUAUGAAGUUUUGUCGUGACCUAUGGUCCGACCGUACCGGUACAACUUAGCAUCGUACGUUGCCCGAGGAGGGGUACGAUGCGGCUUCAUACCCUUAGAGGUAUGAAGGCAGAGGACAUAUGCAUUGCAUUCAUAUGAAUACAUUGAAGUGAUAUUUGCAGAUGAUGUGGUUUUAUACCCUCAGAGGUAUGAAGAUAGAGGACCUACACAUUUCAUUCCUAUGCAUACAUUGAAGUGAUAUUUGCAGGUAUUGUUGAUGCAGGGAAGUGUUAUACAACCUAUUGUGGUUGUUCGAGGAAAUGAGAUGGUAUUGGUUAUAUUGUGACUACUGAGUUCUAUAUCUACAAGUAUUUCUGAUCUUGAUUGUGAUUCUUUUAAAAUGUUGAUUAAUUCAAUGUGGUUUAAAUAUCUCGUCAAAACAAUUAGCUUGCUGAGAUGUUUCAUCUCACUCUUGCAUUACUCAAUGCAGGUGCUUGUUGCUCAUCAAGGGGAGUGGGAAGUAGCAGCACAUACACCUUCACUCUCAUAAUAAUGCUGCCCAGGCGCAGUCAUGAUUUAAUUAGAAACUUCUUGUCAAAGGAUGUUUGUUUUUAACUAGUCGUGCGCACUGGUUAAUUCAGUUCAUGUCGUUAUGGUCGUCUUCCCAUUGCUAGCAGAUUAUUAAUGUCUAUUAUGUUUUCUU